rnacentral:rRNA from 1 species
GAUGAACGCUAGCGGCAGGCUUAACACAUGCAAGUCGAGGGGCAGCGCGAUGUUGCAAUACAUUGGCGGCGACCGGCGCACGGGUGCGUAACACGUAUGGAACUUACCCUUUACUGGGAGAUAGCCCGGAGAAAUCCGGAUUAAUAUCCCAUAAUAAACGAAGUGGCAUCACUUUGUUUUGAAAGCUCCGGCGGUAAAGGAUGGCCAUGCGCACGAUUAGCUAGUAGGUGAGGUAACGGCUCACCUAGGCUACGAUCGUUAGGGGGCCUGAGAGGGUUAUCCCCCACACUGGUACUGAGACACGGACCAGACUCCUACGGGAGGCAGCAGUGAGGAAUAUUGCGCAAUGGAGGCAACUCUGACGCAGCCAUGCCGCGUGCAGGAAGAAGGCGCUACGCGUUGUAAACUGCUUUUAACCGGGAAGAAACCCUCCGACGUGUCGGAGGUUGACGGUACCGGAGGAAUAAGCACCGGCUAACUUCGUGCCAGCAG